rnacentral:tRNA from 1 species
AAUUGGUUGGCAGAUUAAUGUAUUUGACUUAGGAUCAAAAUAAGGAGAUAUUCUCCACCAAUUA